GCCUAGCCCUGAUAGAAGUGAAAAUCCUUUUUGUUUUUCCUUUAAAAACAAAAAGAUUGCAACGAAUAGCAGGAAAUUGC
rnacentral:sRNA from 26 species